rnacentral:rRNA from 1 species
AUUGAACGCUGGCGGCAUGCCUUACACAUGCAAGUCGAACGGCAGCACGGGAGCAAUCCUGGUGGCGAGUGGCGAACGGGUGAGUAAUAUAUCGGAACGUGCCCGGUCGUGGGGAUAACGUAGCGAAAGCUACGCUAAUACCGCAUACGAUCUACGGAUGAAAGCGGGGGAUCGCAAGACCUCGCGCGAUUGGAGCGGCCGAUAUCAGAUUAGGUAGUUGGUGAGGUAAAGGCUCACCAAGCCGACGAUCUGUAGCUGGUCUGAGAGGACGACCAGCCACACUGGGACUGAGACACGGCCCAGACUCCUACGGGAGGCAGCAGUGGGAAUUUUGACAAUGGCGCAAGCCUGAUCCAGCAAUGCCGCGUGCAGGAUGAAGGCCUUCGGUGUU